AAAAAGCUUGGUCCUGACUUUAUUGUCAGCUGGUACUGAAUUUACACAUGCAAGCAUCUACCCCCCUGUGAGAAUGCCCUCGAUCCCCUAAUUGGAAACGAGGAGCGGACAUCAGGCUCACCUGUAACGCCAGCCCAAAACGUCUUGCUCUGCCACACCCCCAAGGGAACUCAGCAGUGAUAAACAUUAAGCCAUGAGUGAAAACUCGACUUAGUGAAGGUAUUUAAGGGCCGGUAAAACUCGUGCCAGCCACCGCGGUUAUACGAGAGGCCCGAGUUGAUAAACACCGGCGUAAAGUGUGGUUAGGAAUUUUCCCUCUAAAGUAAAACACCCCCAGAACUGUUAUACGCUCCCGGGGGCAGGAAGCCCAACAACGAAAGUGACUUUAAACCUCCGACUCCACGACAGCUACGACACAAACUGGGAUUAGAUACCCCAUUAUGCCUGGCUAUAAACUUCGAUAGAACACUACAACCACUAUCCGCCCGGGAACUACGAGCGCUAGCUUAAAACCCAAAGGACUUGGCGGUGCUUCAGACCCCCCUAGAGGAGCCUGUCCUAGAACCGAUGACCCCCGUUCAACCUCACCACUUCUUGUUUUCUCCGCCUAUAUACCGCCGUCGCCAGCCUACCCUCUAAGGGACCCAAAGUAGGCAAAACAAGCACCCCUUAAAACGUCAGGUCGAGGUGUAGCCAAUGAAGUGGGAAGAGAUGGGCUACAUUCUCUGAAUUCAGAGAACCACGAAAGAGAUUUUGAAACAAACCCCCGAAGGCGGAUUUAGCAGUAAGCACGAAAGUAGCGAGUUCAGCUGAAACCGGCUCUGAAGCGCGUACACACCGCCCGUCACUCUCCCCGAAUACCCCACCUAACCCUACUUAAAAAGUUUUUCUCCCAAGGGGAGGCAAGUCGUAACAUGGUAAGUGUACCGGAAGGUGCACUUGGAAACA
rnacentral:ncRNA from 1 species